UUCAUGAAUACUUUAAUGGGGUGAAGUGUAACUAGCCCCAUCAUUAACCAACCUUAACUCUAAUUUGUACUCUCUCUCUCCCCCUCUCAAUUAUGCAAUUCAGAAUAGAGCCUGUGGCCUCCCUCUCCGGUGGAAACCGAUCUGGUAAAUCACCGUACUCAGAUUUUACACUGUGCGAAUGUAGUGUGCAAAUAAUUGAUUUGUUGCUUCUUUAUUCUAUGGAUUUUGAGAGCUGUAUCAGCAGUUUUUUAGUUUCGUUUUGUGGGGCUUCUAUGGUUAACUCACGUGCAAGCAUAUGUCUGUAUUUCUGAUUU
rnacentral:lncRNA from 1 species